rnacentral:misc_RNA from 1 species
ACUUAACACCCUUUUAAGACGCAUCAAUCUUUUAUAAUGGCAUUAAGAUCUAGAUUUUUAUUUUCAAUAUCACAUUAUAUAAAGCAUCCAAGUUUUAUAUGCAGUGACAGAUCAGAAACAAAUUUGGUGGUGGCAAAUGGAAAUUUUGGAGGAAAAUGGGAGAGAAAGAAGAAGAUGGUUGGGAGCUGUCUAAAGAAAAGUUUUUUUGGUGAGAUUGGAGAAAUAGAGCACUGUAGCUAAAGAAUUUAAACAAUCUUACUGAGCUAUAGCCACCCUCCGUCCCCCACCCAUCACCUGCAUUCGCUCUUUCAAUAAUGGAAAAUAAUGUGUGCAUGUGUGUGUGUGUGUG